rnacentral:tRNA from 1 species
GCCCGCGUAGCUCAGUUGGAUAGAGCGCCUGGCUUCGGACCAGGAGGUCGUGGGUUCAAUUCCUGCCGCGGGCA